GAGGCAAUAGCUCAGUUGGUAGAGCAUGAGAGUCUUAAAUCUCAGGGUUCAAGCCCCUCAUUGUUGCA